CAAGGACUAUCAAGAUUUUUUUUGUUUAAAAUGUUCAAACCUUAGUUUGUCAUUUCUAAGCCAAUCCAACACAACAUGAACUUGCAACAGCAAAUUCCUACUGGUAAAUGUGAUUACAAAGCAGACAUUGGUUAGAUAAUAGUAGUUAAAGGCAUGAUGAAAGAGCCUUGGUGGUACUUUCUGACACAGCAGCAGGAAAUAAGAUGAGAUGCUGACUUGGUAUUUUUGUCACCUCGUAUUGCUCAACACACACAUUAGGCUGACCAAUAAUAUCUGAUGAAUAUUUUCACAGUAUGUGGGGCUGCCACCUUAGAAUAACCAGGUGCACCUGGGCCCAAUGCUCAUCAGCAAUUAUAAAAGCUGCCACUUCAGUCCCCUCAGGGAGGCCUUAUCCAAACUUAUUUCUUUUCUCAUCUCUCUUUGCUUUUCAAUUUAUCGUUUGUAAACAAAACUGUUAAAUAUUAUUUGUAUCUUUCCCAUUAUUUGCCACAGUGUGCAGUAACUACUGAUCCUGACAAAGUGUUACGCGAGGUGGCAUACAGAAACUGAAGGGAACACUUGUGGAUCACACAUGGUCACACAUCUGGAGACCAUGAUGUCCCCAGACUGGGGAAGUGAUAGAGUAGACUGCUGCUCCACUGCAUUUGCCAGGGGAUUAUUUAUGGGGAUAUACAUUGGAUGUGCCUGAGAGUCCAUUCAGUGGUUAUGGAUGUGCAGAGUUAAUUGUGCAUCUGAUUGCACACAGCUCUUGCUACACUGUGGAAAACUCUGCUUGUCUUGUGGUUCUUUGGCCACUGGUACCCCUCCUCUGCUGUUUGUUGUAUCAUGAGUUUCAAUUGCCUCACCUACUACAUCUCCAGAAAAACAGCCUGCUGCCCCUACAUUGGUAAUGCAGCUGUGAAAAUGGUUGUCUACUCAGCUGAUUAAAUAUACAGAUGUAUUUUGUUAAUAUUUACAUUGUAAUUAUCAAUCUUCACUGACUAAUAAAAUCUUAAUUAAGUUUGCAUGUUU